AACUAUAAAAAGAAGACAUAUAAUAUCAAUACCAACCAGUAUCACCACUCACCAACCAUCGUUUUGAGUUAUCCAUGGAACCACCGGCGUCCUCCUCCACCGCCACCGCACCUUCAAAUCCGCGUAGCUACUGGCGGUGGAGCAAGCAAGAUUUCUUUCCAGAACCGUCUUUCCAAACUGGUGAAACCUACCGGAAUGCCUUAGCAAACACAUGUCCGCGUCUGAAGGACCGCCUCCUGAACCGCUCAUCGGAUUCUCACGAACUCCUCGUCCUUCCAAAAGCCAGCGAGAAUCGCAUGGCUCGUUGCCUCACCUGGUGGGACCUAACCUGGCUAGCCUUCGGUUCUGUCGUCGGUUCAGGCAUCUUCGUCGUCACCGGUCAAGAAGCUCGCGUCCAUGCCGGUCCCGCCAUUGUCCUUUCCUACGCCGCAUCCGGUUUUUCUGCUCUUCUUUCGGCUUUCAUCUACGCCGAAUUCGCCGUUGAAGUUCCGGUCGCCGGUGGAUCCUUUUCCUUCCUUCGAAUCGAACUCGGUGACUUCCUCGCUUUUGUUGCCGCCGGUAACCUCCUCCUCGAAGCUAUCGUCGGCGCCGCCGGUCUCGGCCGUUCAUGGUCAUCCUACUUCGCCACAAUGGUAAAAAACGAUUCAGAAUUCUUCCGGAUCCGAAUCGACUCUUUUAAAGACGGCUUCAACAUGCUCGAUCCAUUAGCCGUUGGAGUUCUGUUAAUCGCUAACGGAUUCGCAGCUAGCGGAACUCGAAAAACCUCUAUAUUAACUUGGAUUACUUCAAUUGCCACAACUCUGGUUAUAGCUUUCAUUAUAAUAGUUGGUUUUAUCCACGGAAAGUCGUCAAACUUAACGCCGUUUCUUCCUUACGGCGUUAAAGGCGUUUUUAACGCCGCUGCUGUUGUGUAUUGGUCAUAUACCGGUUUUGACAUGGUUGCAACUAUGGCUGAAGAAACUAAAAAACCUUCUAGAGAUAUACCUAUUGGUUUGAUAGGUUCAAUGUCGUUGAUAACAGUUAUUUAUUGUUUAAUGGCAUUGGCCCUUGUGUCAAUGGUUAAGUACAUUGAGAUUGAUGAUGGAGCUGCUUAUUCAGUUGCUUUUGUUCAAAUUGGUAUGAAUUGGGCUAAAUAUUUAGUGAGUAUUUGUGCUUUGAAAGGAAUGACAACAAGUUUGCUUGUUGGGUCAAUGGGGCAAGCUAGGUACACAACUCAAAUUGCGCGAUCGCAUAUGAUUCCACCCUUUUUCGCACGUGUUCAUCCUAAAACUGGCACACCAAUAUAUGCUACACUUUUAACGACUCUAUCGAGUUGUGUUGUUGCUCUUUUUACUAGUUUGGAUGUUCUGUCUAGUGUUUUUUCUGUGUGUACUCUUUUCAUAUUUUUGCUCAUGGCCAUUGCGUUGCUUGUUAGGAGAUAUUAUGCAAGGGAAGGAACGGAUGAUAAGAGUGAUUUUUGGAAGGUUCUUUUGUGUUUGUUUGUUGUUAUUGGUUCUUGUAUUGUUGGGACAGUGUUUUGGAAUUCGGGUUUGUUUGGUUGGAUUGGGUAUACGGUGGCUGCCUGUGUCUGGUUUUUGGCGACUUUGGUGUUGAGUUUGCUUCCAGAGAAGAGGCAACCAAAGGUUUGGGGAGCUCCGCUGGUUCCGUGGUUGCCUUCUUUGUCGAUUGCGACAAACCUUUUUCUUAUGGGAUCAUUGGGGUAUGAGGCUUUCUAUAGAUUCUUGAUUUGUACUGGUGUGAUGCUUGUGUAUUAUAUAUUUGUAGCUGUUCAUGCAACUUAUGAUGUGGAUCAUGGAAUUGGUCAAGAAUCAAAGUAUGAUGACUUAAAUUAAGGUGUCAAUUAAAGCUGUUCAUGCAACUUAUGAUGUGGAUCAUGGAAUUGGUCAAGAAUCAAAGUAUGAUGACUUAAAUUAAGGUGUCAAUUAAAGGUGUUCAUGCAACUUAUGAUGUGGAUCAUGGAAUUGGUCAAGAAUCAAAGUAUGAUGACUUAAAUUAAGGUGUCAAUUAAAGGUAACAUGUUUUCAAGUUCCAUCAAUUGAGAUGUUGUGGAUUCUCUUAUGUUGUGUUAAGAAUAGCCUUAUGUGUUGUGGAAUCAUGAAGAGUCAAGUAUUUUUAGUGGCUGGAGAACUCAUGUGUGAAAUGUGAAUCAGAACUUUGACAUUUGAAUAAUUGUUAGAUGUGAUGAAAGAGAAGUAAGUGUCCGUUGAGGGUUUUUUUAUUAAUUUUUUGAGGUCCA